GAUGAAUAACGCAGCGAAAUGCGAUAAGUAAUGUGAAUUGCAGAAUUCAGUGAAUCAUCGAAUCUUUGAACGCACCUUGCACCCUUUGGCAUUCCGAAGGGUAUGCUCGUUUGAGUGUCAUUGUACUCUCACACUUCCAAUCUUUGGAUUGGGAGCGGUGGACUUGGGUGUUGCUGCUUACUGUGGCUCACCUCAAAUCGAUUCGUGCACCUCUUGGUUGGACAUAGUACGGCGUGAUAAGUGUCUUCGCCGGCACCUCAGUAGAGGGUGGCUGAUCAGGAGCUCUGUGCUUCAAACCGUCCUCGGACAACAACUGACAACUUGACCUCAAAUCGAGUAGGACUACCCGCUGAACUUAAGCAUAUCAAUAAGCGGAGGA
rnacentral:misc_RNA from 1 species